rnacentral:piRNA from 1 species
UGACCUUCCAGAAUGUGUGGGAGAUGCCU